rnacentral:rRNA from 1 species
CCUACGGGGGGCAGCAGUGAGGAAUAUUGGUCAAUGGACGAGAGUCUGAACCAGCCAAGUAGCGUGAAGGAUGACUGCCCUAUGGGUUGUAAACUUCUUUUAUAUGGGAAUAAAACGUUCCACGUGUGGGAUUUUGUAUGUACCAUAUGAAUAAGGACCGGCUAACUCCGUGCCAGCAGCCGCGGUAAUACGGAGGAUCCGAGCGUUAUCCGGAUUUAUUGGGUUUAAAGGGAGCGUAGGUGGAUUGUUAAGUCAGUUGUGAAAGUUUGCGGCUCAACCGUAAAAUUGCAGUUGAAACUGGCAGUCUUGAGUACAGUAGAGGUGGGCGGAAUUCGUGGUGUAGCGGUGAAAUGCUUAGAUAUCACGAAGAACUCCGAUUGCGAAGGCAGUUCACUGGACUGCAACUGACACUGAGGCUCGAAAGUGUGGGUAUCAAACAGGAUUAGAUACCCGAGUAGUC